AUUGAACGCUGGCGGCAGGCCUAACACAUGCAAGUCGAGCGAGCGGCGGACGGGUGAGUAAUGUCUGGGAAACUGCCUGAUGGAGGGGGAUAACUAAUGGAAACGGUAGAUAAUACCGCAUACCAUCAGAUGUGCCCAGAUGGGAUUUGCUAGUAGGUGGGGGAAUGGCUCACCUGGGCGACGAUCCCUAGCUGGUCUGAGAGGAUGACCAGUCACACUGGAACUGAGCCACGGUCCAGAUUCCUACGGAAGGCAGCAGUGGGGAAUAUUGCACAAUGGGCGCAAGCCUGAUGAAGCCAUGCCGGGUGUGUGAAGAAGGCCUUCGGGUUGUAAAGCACUUUCAGCGAGGAGGCGUUACUCGCAGAAGAAGCACCGGCUAACUCCGUGCCAGCAGCCGCGGUAAUAC
rnacentral:rRNA from 1 species